rnacentral:rRNA from 1 species
CUAAGGUGGGGGAUAACCCCGGGAAACUGGGGAUAAUACCCCAUAGGCUAUGAAAGUUGGAAUGCUUCGUAGUUGAAAGGUCAGCCGCCAUAGGAUGGGUCUGCGGCCGAUUAGGUAGUUGUUGGGGUAACGGCCCAACAAGCCUGUAAUCGGUACGGGUUGUGGGAGCAAGAGCCCGGAGAUGGAUUCUGAGACACGAAUCCAGGCCCUACGGGGCGCAGCAGGCGCGAAAACUUUACAAUGCGGGAAACCGUGAUAAGGGAACUCCGAGUGCCCGUUAAAUCGGGCUGUCCAUCAGUUUAAAAAACUGGUGAAGAAAGGGCCGGGCAAGACCGGUGCCAGCCGCCGCGGUAAUACCGGCGGCUCGAGUGGUGGCCACUAUUACUGGGCUUAAAGCGUUCGUAGCUGGUUUGUUAAGUUUCUGGGGAAAUCUUCCGGCUUAACCGGAAGGCGUCUCAGGGAUACUGGCAGACUAGGGACCGGAAGAGGUGAGGGGUACUCCAGGGGUAGGAGUGAAAUCCUGUAAUCCUUGGGGGACCACCUGUGGCGAAGGCGCCUCACCAGGACGGCUCCGACAGUGAGGGACGAAAGCUGGGGGAGCAAACCGGAUUAGAUACCCGGGUAGUCCCAGCCGUAAACGAUGUGCGUUAGGUGUAUCGGUGACCACGAGUCACCGAGGUGCCGAAGAGAAAUCGUGAAACGUACCGCCUGGGAAGUACGGUCGCAAGGCUGAAACUUAAAGGAAUUGGCGGGGGAGCACCACAACAGGUGGAGCCUGCGGUUUAAUCGGACUCAACGCCGGAAAUCUCACCAGAUAAGACAGCUGAAUGAUAGUCGGGCUGAAGACUCUACUUGACUAGCUGAGAGGAGGUGCAUGG